UACGUAGGGUGCGAGCGUUAAUCGGAAUUACUGGGCGUAAAGCGUGCGCAGGCGGUUCGUUAAGACAGAUGUGAAAUCCCCGGGCUUAACCUGGGAACUGCAUUUGUGACUGGCGAGCUAGAGUAUGGCAGAGGGGGUAGAAUUCCACGUGUAGCAGUGAAAUGCGUAGAGAUGUGGAGGAAUACCGAUGGCGAAGGCAGCCCCUGGGCCAAUACUGACGCUCAUGCACGAAAGGCGUGGGAGCAAACAGG
rnacentral:rRNA from 1 species